GCUCUGACUUUGUCCUAGUCAGGGAGUGUCAUUCUCAUUCUUUGGAGAGACUUCAUGCUAUCCCCUACCUCAUGGCAUUACAUCCCCUCUUGGGAAAGUCCAAUUUUUGUAUAACAACCACUGGGCCUGUCCCUGAGUUUUCCUCCAGGCUCCUCCCUUUUGGCAAAGGACAAAAAAAAGUGGUGCUCAAACUUUACUGUGCAUUAGAAUCACCUGGAAAAUGUGUUAAAAUAGAUUGCUGGGUCCCCAUCCAGAGUUUCUGAUUCUGUAGGUCUGGAGUGGGAGCCCUAGUUUUGCAUUUCUAAUCAGUCCUCCACUGAUGCUGUAGGUCUUAGGGACCACAGUUUGAGAACCACGGAUAUAGAAAAUGCAGUUAAGAUUUAGAUCUUCCAUGGAUGACAGAUGCCAUGGAUCUCUGUGUAGAUAACAGAAGUCCAUUUAGAGAACCUCCUACCUUUUUGAGGCCAAUAUAGAAGAACAAUGUGUCCCUUCAGCUACAUCAUUUUCAGUACAUUAUCAGGUUUGCACUUCUUGAACUAGAGCUAAGAGUUCCCUGAUUAAAACAUGAUAUUGGCCGGGUGCAGUGGCUCAUGCCUGUAAUCGUAGUACUUUGAGAGGCCAAGGCAGGCAAUCACCUGAGGUCAGGAGUUCAAGACCAGCCUGGCCAACAUGGUGAAACCCCGUCUCUGCUAAAAGUACAAAAAUUAGCCAGGUGUAGUGGCGCAGGCCUGUAAUCCCAGCUACUUGGGAGGCUGGGGCAGGAGAAUUGUUUGAACAUGGGGGGUGGAAGUUGCAGUGGGCCGAGAUCGUGGCAUUGCACUCCAGCCUGGGCAACAAGAGCGAAACUCUGUCUCAAAAAACAAAACAAUAAAACAAAAACAUGAUAUUUACAUUACUGGGCAGUUAAGUAAGCUAAGAUGAUCUUACCUUCUCAGGAACAGACCUGGUGCUGUGUAGCUUAUCUUUUAACUCAAAAUGAGAGAGCAGCUACAGAAAUAUACACUCCCUGGUAUAAGCUGUAAAUAGCUGCAACUGUUGCUAACAAUAGCAAUAAAUCCAGAAAAGGAACAACUGAAACUUUAACCAGAGCAUACACAACUCAAAAUACUUUUUAGCCUUAAAAAGUGUUUUAAAAAAAGUUAUUUCCAGGGAGCCGGGUGAGGUAGCUCACCAGGAAAGAAUGUUUGAAAGAUUGGCCUCUGUUUUAGCCA
rnacentral:lncRNA from 10 species